UGGAUGCGAUGAUUCCGGGUG
rnacentral:misc_RNA from 1 species